UCCCACUGCCCUUAUGAGUGUAGAGACGGG
rnacentral:piRNA from 1 species